GAGUUUGAUCCUGGCUCAGAUUGAACGCUAGCGGGAUGCCUUACACAUGCAAGUCGAACGGCAGCACGGACUUCGGUCUGGUGGCGAGUGGCGAACGGGUGAGUAAUGUAUCGGAACGUGCCUAGUAGCGGGGGAUAACUACGCGAAAGCGUAGCUAAUACCGCAUACGCCCUACGGGGGAAAGCAGGGGAUCGUAAGACCUUGCACUAUUAGAGCGGCCGAUAUCGGAUUAGCUAGUUGGUGGGGUAACGGCUCACCAAGGCGACGAUCCGUAGCUGGUUUGAGAGGACGACCAGCCACACUGGGGCUGAGACACGGCCCAGACUCCUACGGGAGGCAGCAGUGGGGAAUUUUGGACAAUGGGGGAAACCCUGAUCCAGCCAUCCCGCGUGUGCGAUGAAGGCCUUCGGGUUGUAAAGCACUUUUGGCAGGAAAGAAACGUCCCGGAAUAAUACCCCGGGAAACUGACGGUACCUGCAGAAUAAGCACCGGCUAACUACGUGCCAGCAGCCGCGGUAAUACGUAGGGUGCAAGCGUUAAUCGGAAUUACUGGGCGUAAAGCGUGCGCAGGCGGUUCGGAAAGAAAGAUGUGAAAUCCCAGAGCUUAACUUUGGAACUGCAUUUUUAACUACCGAGCUAGAGUGUGUCAGAGGGAGGUGGAAUUCCGCGUGUAGCAGUGAAAUGCGUAGAUAUGCGGAGGAACACCGAUGGCGAAAGGCAGCCUCCUGGGAUAACACUGACGCUCAUGCACGAAAGCGUGGGGAGCAAA
rnacentral:rRNA from 1 species